rnacentral:piRNA from 1 species
AGAAUUGAAGUCGACCCUG